GACGAACGCUGGCGGCGUGCUUAACACAUGCAAGUCGAACGGAAAGGCCUCUUUCGGGGGGUACUCGAGUGGCGAACGGGUGAGUAACACGUGAGUAACCUGCCCUUGACUUUGGGAUAACUUCAGGAAACUGGGGCUAAUACCGGAUAGGAGCUCCUGCUGCAUGGUGGGGGUUGGAAAGUUUCGGCGGUUGGGGAUGGACUCGCGGCUUAUCAGCUUGUUGGUGGGGUAGUGGCUUACCAAGGCUUUGACGGGUAGCCGGCCUGAGAGGGUGACCGGCCACAUUGGGACUGAGAUACGGCCCAGACUCCUACGGGAGGCAGCAGUGGGGAAUAUUGCACAAUGGGUGGAAGCCUGAUGCAGCAACGCCGUGUGCGGGAUGACGGCCUUCGGGUUGUAAACCGCUUUCGCCCAUGACGAAGCUUUGUGUGACGGUAGCGGGUAAAGAAGCACCGGCUAACUACGUG
rnacentral:rRNA from 1 species